GUCUACUGUCAUAUCACCCUGAACACACCCAAUCUCACCUGAUCUUUGAAGCUAAGCAGGGUCAGGCCUGGUUAGUACUUGGAUGGCAGACAGACAGCUGGACUUUGGAGGAG
ensembl:rRNA 5S_rRNA 5S ribosomal RNA